CAAUGCAGGACCACUAAUUAUUAUAGUAUCUCUUCUUUCAUAUUGUUCUACAUCAUCUAGUUGAUUUUCAAGUUUGCUGACUGUAUCCUCAAGUGAGGUCACUUUGUCCUGCAACUUUUCAAUUUUUUCAUCUUUUUCCUUGGAAAGAAUAGACAGAGCUUUCACUAUUGUGUUCACUAUCACUUUACCUUCUUCGGACAGACGAGCAAUGUCACUGGAGAUGAAGUCAAGGAUGUUUGUUGUGGGUGCUUGUCCCAUGGCUUGAGUUAGUGUCUUGACCAUCUCGGCUAUGGCUGUCCCCUGCUUCUGUCCAACUGGAGUAGAUACCACAGCUGCUACGUCAGACCCUGCCGCACUCCUUGUCUGCACCAUUUAGCUUGCGAGAAUCCAAGUAGUAGACUACGUGCAGGUAUAAUGGAGUAAACAGGUACAGGGGCGAAUCUGCGACGAGCCGGGGUUUGUUUACGUUUGGCAAAUAUUGUUGGAACAGUCCAGCGGCGGAGGCAGGGGACUUGUUUUGCUGGCUUAUUCUUCCUUCACAUCCUUCUACUCUACACAACCCGCAACAUAAACACUUACAAAGCCAGAGGUCACAAGAAGAUUGAAAUAUGGAACUACCAGUGACAUUAGCACAUGACAGAGGCCUGAAAAUGGAAGAAGGCAUCUAUAUAUGGAAAUAUAAGUGGUAUUAACACAUGACAGUGACUUGAGAAGGGAAGAAAGAGAGUGAGAUAUGGAGAUAUAAAUGGCAAUACCAUAUGACAGUGGCCUAAGGAAAGGAGAUUGAGAUAUGGAAAUAUAAGUGGCAUUAGCACAUCACAGUGGCCAGAGAAAAGAAUGGGUAUUCAGAGAUUCCUUAAACCUUGUUGAGAUGCAUGAUGGCAGGCUUCUACAGAAAAAAAAAUAAUGGUGUGACAAGCUGGAACCAGCAAAUAUUGUUUGUGUGACAAAGAGAUCUCAUGCCACCUGCCCACACACGUGCUGGCAGCAUUGCCAUUCUAUACAUGUAGAAGCUUCCAGAGUUUUGUGGGAGAUAUUUGUGGACUUAGUCAAGCCGGAGAUUCAUCAAUAGGCAGUUUGGUCAUCUAUACCUGCUUGGAGACAGUGGAUAGCCCUUGGAGCCCUUUGUGAUGACACCUGCUGAUCCCACAGAGCAACAGUACAACAGGAGCCAUGCCAAGACAUGUUUUUUUUGUAGAACAAACUUUUGGUAUCCUCAAGACUCCUCAAAUGCUUUCAUAGGAGUGAAAGAGCAGCAGCAUUCCAGUAUGAGUUGGUACAAUGUGCAAGAAUUGCACUUGCUUGUAUAAUCCUGCAUAGCCGUUGCAUAAAUAGAAGACUUCCCUUGCAGGAACAAGCUGCAGGUGAUGAACAACAUCCACAUACAGAUGCUAGUAGUGUUAAUGUUGGGCAUGGAGGGGUUACAAGAUGAGAACUUGUCUGUCAAGUACUUACACUUCACCGCUGAAACUUGGUAUAUUGGGUAGUGAAAGUAAAUUCCCAUGUAGCUACUUAAGAAUGUUGUGUAUUAUUAUUGUGGGAUGUUUUUUUCUUUUCAGUAGUUUCAUUGAUUUUAUAAGUUGCUUAUCACAAUGAUAACUUGAAUUCCUUGUAGUUUCACAUCUAAAUAUGAGAAAUAGCUGAUAUGAUGAUCAGGUUGGAAUUAGUAUGGGCUUAAAUAUAUUCUUAUUUCUAUAUUUUGUGAAAUUUUGUAAUAUUACAAAUGUGUAGGAAAAGAGAUCAUAGCUAACAUAAAUCAAAAUAAAUAUUGUGAAACCAGAAAUAAAUUAUGUGAUUUUUCUAUUUGAAAAUAUAGUUUUAGCAAACUAAA